UGGGGAAUAUUGGACAAUGGGCGCAAGCCUGAUCCAGCAAUGCCGCGUGUGUGAAGAAGGCCUUCGGGUUGUAAAGCACUUUUAUCAGGAGCGAAACGCUGUCGGCUAAUACCCGGCGGAACUGACGGUACCUGAGGAAUAAGCACCGGCUAACUUCGUGCCAGCAGCCGCGGUAAUACGAAGGGUGCAAGCGUUAAUCGGAAUUACUGGGCGUAAAGCGUGCGUAGGCGGUUUCUUAAGUCUGCUGUGAAAUCCCCGGGCUCAACCUGGGAAUGGCAGUGGAUACUGGGAGGCUAGAGUGUGUCAGAGGGUGGUGGAAUUCCCGGUGUAGCGGUGAAAUGCGUAGAGAUCGGGAGGAACAUCAGUGGCGAAGGCGGCCACCUGGGGCAACACUGACGCUGAGGCACGAAAGCGUGGGGAGCAAACAGGAUUAGAUACCCUGGUAGUCCACGCCCUAAACGAUGCGAACUGGAUGUUGGUCUCAACUCGGAGAUCAGUGUCGAAGCUAACGCGUUAAGUUCGCCGCCUGGGGAGUACGGUCGCAAGACUGAAACUCAAAGGAAUUGAGGGGGUCAUAGCUGUUUCCUG
rnacentral:rRNA from 1 species